rnacentral:tRNA from 1 species
GCCGAUGUGGUGGAAUUGGUAGACACGCUAUCUUGAGGGGGUAGUGGCGUAAGCCGUGCCGGUUCGAGUCCGGCCAUCGGCA